UGCGCAGGCGGUUUUGUAAGACAGUGGUGAAAUCCCCGGGCUCAACCCGGGAACUGCCAUUGUGACUGCAAGGCUGGAGUGCGGCAGAGGGGGAUGGAAUUCCGCGUGUAGCAGUGAAAUGCGUAGAUAUGCGGAGGAACACCGAUGGCGAAGGCAAUCCCCUGGGCCUGCACUGACGCUCAUGCACGAAAGCUGGGAGCAAACA
rnacentral:rRNA from 1 species